UACGUAGGGGGCAAGCGUUGUCCGGAUUUAUUGGGCGUAAAGAGCGUGUAGGCGGCUUUACAGGUCCGUUGUGAAAACUCGAGGCUCAACCUCGAGACGCCGGUGGAAACCGUAAAGCUAGAGUCCGGAAGAGGAGAGUGGAAUUCCUGGUGUAGCGGUGAAAUGCGCAGAGUAUCAGGAAGAACACCAAUGGCGAAAGCAGCUCUCUGGGACGGUACUGACGCUGAGACGCGAAAGCGUGGGGAGCGAACAGG
rnacentral:rRNA from 1 species